AUACGGAGGAUCCGAGCGUUAUCCGGAUUUAUUGGGUUUAAAGGGUGCGCAGGCGGGAGGUUAAGUCGGCGGUGAAAUUUUGCAGCUCAACUGUAAAAGUGCCUUCGAAACUGGUUUCCUUGAGUGUAGAUGAAGUAGGCGGAAUUUGUGGUGUAGCGGUGAAAUGCAUAGAUAUCACGAGGAACUCCGAUUGCGCAGGCAGCUUACUAAACUACUACUGACGCUCAGGCACGAAGGCGUGGGGAUCAAACAGGAUUAGAUACCCUGGUAGUCCACGCAGUAAACGAUGAUUACUAGCUGUUUGCGAUACAAUGUAAGCGGCUGAGCGAAAGCGUUAAGUAAUCCACCUGGGGAGUACGUUCGCAAGAAUGAAACUCAAAUGAAUUGACGGGG
rnacentral:rRNA from 1 species